rnacentral:rRNA from 1 species
UACGGAAGGGGCAAGCGUUGUUCGGAAUCAUUGGGCGUAAAGGGCGCGUAGGCGGCCUGGUAAGUCAAAGGUGAAAUCCCUCGGCUCAACUGAGGAACUGCCUUUGAAACUGUCAGGCUCGAGUCCGGGAGGGGGUGGCGGAAUUCCCAGUGUAGCGGUGAAAUGCGUAGAUAUUGGGAGGAACACCAGUGGCGAAGGCGGCCACCUGGACCGGAUCUGACGCUGAUGCGCGAAAGCGUGGGUAGCAAACAGG